GUGCAUGAGAUGUAUUGUGUUUCUGUGUGUAUGUAAGAAAAGAAGUGUGUGUGUUUGCAUGCGUGUGUACGGGUUUGCAUUGUCUGUUUCUGUGUAUGUGUGCAAAGGAUGCAUUGUCUUUGUGUGUAAGGGUUGCAUUGUGUGUGUGUGUGUAAUGGAUGCAUUGUGUGUUUCUCUGUGUGUAAGGGAAGUAUGUUGUGUUUCUGUGU